rnacentral:tRNA from 1 species
GCCUGGGUGGCUUAGUCGGUUAAGCGUCUGACUUCAGCUCAGGUCAUGAUCUCAUGGUUUGUGGGUUCGAGCCCCACAUCGGGCU